UACGAAGGGGGCUAGCGUUGCUCGGAAUCACUGGGCGUAAAGGGUGCGUAGGCGGGUCUUAAGUCAGGGGUGAAAUCCUGGAGCUCAACUCCAGAACUGCCUUUGAUACUGAGGAUCUUGAGUUCGGGGAGAGGUGAGUGGAACUGCGAGUGUAGAGGUGAAAUUCGUAGAUAUUCGCAAAGAACACCAGUGGCGAAGGCGGCUCACUGGCCCGAUACUGACGCUGAGGCACGAAAGCGUGGGGAGCAAACAGG
rnacentral:rRNA from 1 species